rnacentral:snRNA from 1 species
AUAAAGGGUUAGGGUCACUCCAC